CCUACGGGUGGCAGCAGUAGGGAAUCUUCCACAAUGGACGGAAGUCUGAUGCAGCAACGCCGCGUGAGUGAAGAAGGGUUUCGGCUCGUAAAGCUCUGUUGGUAGUGAGGAAAGAUAGAGGUAGUAACUGGCCGUUAUUUGACGGUAAUUACUUAGGAAGUCACGGCUAACUACGUGCCAGCAGCCGCGGUAAUACGUAGGUGGCAAGCGUUGACCGGAUUUAUUGGGCGUAAAGCGCGUGCAGGCGGUGCAAUAAGUCUGAUGUGAAAGCCUUGGGCUUAACCGGGGAAUUGCAUCAGAAACUGUGGAGCUUGAGUGCAGAAGAGGAGAGUGGAACUCCAUGUGUAGCGGUGGAAUGCGUAGAUAUAUGGAAGAACACCAGUGGCGAAGGCGGCUCUUUGGUCUGCAACUGACGCUGAGGCGCGAAAGCAUGGGUAGCGAACAGGAUUAGAUACCCCUGUAGUC
rnacentral:rRNA from 1 species